rnacentral:misc_RNA from 1 species
CACCCCUCAAGCUCUGCUUGGUAUUGGGUGCCACCUCCGGGUGCACCUCAAAGUCAGUGGCGGUGCCGUCCGGCUUCAAGCGUAGUAAUACUCCUCGCUUUGGAGCCCGGGCGCGUGCUCGCCAUAACCACAAUUUUUCA